rnacentral:rRNA from 1 species
GUGUCAGCCGCCGCGGUAACACGGGGGGAGCAAGCGUUGUUCGGAAUCACUGGGCGUAAAGGGCGUGUAGGCGGUCAGGUAAGUGAGAUGUGAAACGCCCCGGCUCACCCGGGGACCUGCAUCUCAAACUGCCUGGCUUGAGUAUGGGAGAGGAUGAGGGAAUUCCUGGUGUAGCGGUGAAAUGCGUAGAUAUCAGGAGGAACACCGGUGGCGAAAGCGCUCAUCUGGCCCAAUACUGACGCUGAGGCGCGAAAGCUAGGGGAGCAAACGGGAUUAGAAACCCUUGUAGUCC